UACGAAGGGGCUAGCGUUGCUCGGAAUGACUGGCGUAAGGCGCGUAGGCGGAUGGCUUGUCGGCGUGAAUUCCAGGCUCAACCUUGGCUGCGUUCGAGACGGCGAUCUUGAGUUCGGAAGAGGUCGUGAAUCCAGUGUAGAGUGAAUCGUAGAUAUUGGAGACACAGUGCGAGCGACUACUGACACAUAUGACGCUGAUGCGAAGCGUGAGCAC
rnacentral:rRNA from 1 species